rnacentral:rRNA from 1 species
UACGUAGGGUGCGAGCGUUGUCCGGAAUUAUUGGGCGUAAAGAGCUCGUAGGCGGUGUGUCGCGUCGGCCGUGAAAACCUGCAGCUUAACUGUGGGCUUGCGGUCGAUACGGGCAUCACUGGAGUUCGGCAGGGGAGACUGGAAUUCCUGGUGUAGCGGUGAAAUGCGCAGAUAUCAGGAGGAACACCGGUGGCGAAGGCGGGUCUCUGGGCCGAUACUGACGCUGAGGAGCGAAAGCGUGGGGAGCAAACAGG